rnacentral:misc_RNA from 1 species
CGCACAUUGCGCCCUCUGGUAUUCCGGAGGGCAUGCCUGUUCGAGCGUCAUUAUCACCCCUCAAGCCCGGCUUGCUGUUGGCAGCUCCGGCGCGGGCCCCUAGGCCCCCGCCCUGCCCAAAGAUAAUGACGGCGUCUGUGAGGACUCCUGUACACUGAGCUUUCGGGCACGUACUAGGCUAGAAGUCCGGGCGCCGGUCGACGUCCUCUCGGGGACACUUUUUACCAAGGUUGACCUCGGAUCAGGUAGGGAUACCCGCUGAACUUAA